AUUUUUAUUUAUUUCUUUAUUUUUUGAGAUGGCAUUUUGCUCUUGUUGCCCAGGCUAGAGUGCAAUGGUGCGAUCUCAGCUCACUGCAACCUCCACCUCUUGGGUCCAAGCAAUUCUCCUGCCUCAGCCUCCUGAGUAGCUGGGAUUACCUGCAUGCACCACCACGCCCAGCUAACUUUUUGGAUUUUUAGUAGCGACGGGGUUUCUCCAUGUUGGUCAGGCUGGUCUCGAACUCCCGACCUCAGUUGAUCCACUUGCCUUGACCUCCCAAAGUGCUGGGAUUACAGGCGUGAGCCACCGCGCCCGGCCGUACAGUUUCUUAUGUGUUUGAUAUCUUCUUCCUGGUGUGAGGACUUAGCUUUGAGUGUUAACCGAAAAUUCUAAGUCUAGGGUUCCUAAGUUGUUAUGUGCUGCACUAUACAAGUAAACCUACAGAGAUGGAAGUGUUCUUAGAGAUUAUCUAGUCCAAGCACUUCAUUUAUAGGUAAAGAAACCGGGGCUCAGAGAGGGCGAUUCACUCACAAUAGCAGGCAGCAUAAUUUAGUAGCAGCAACAGACCUGAGUUAACUCAUAGCCCUUACAUUUCCCCUGGAGUCAUCCCUUUGUUCCCACAACAAGUUACACACUUCCAUCAGUACUCCCUGCAGCCUGUAAGUACAGUGAUCACAAUGCCUCCUCGAAAUUCUGCUCACUGUUGAUUGACUAUUGUAUAUACUAGGCAUUUAUGUAUUCAUGAUUGUUUACCUAGUCAUUCAUUCAACAACUGUUCAUGGAGCCUCCACCACAUGGCACCAGGAAACUAGUACACUUGAUUGAAAAUAGUUAUUUCAUCACAUUACCAUUGUUUGUAGAAUUGUUUAAUAAAUUUCAGGUCUCCUGAUUUCCACUUCAGUGUUCAUAUAACUGCAUGUCCUACUGUCCUCCUUGGCACAUGAAGAUGGCUGAAAAAACUGAACUGUUCACCCAGCUGGGCAAGUAGGACUAGGACCUAGAUUUCUGGAACCAUUACAUUGUCCUCUCUACAAACGAACUAUGGCUUUAAGACCAAACAUUGAUGCUGGAAAUAAUUAGUAACUGAAAGCUCCUCCCAGGUUUUCCUCUUUUCCCUGUGUUUUUGCUUUCCAUGCUUUCAGUUACCCACAGUCCAGAAAUAAUAAAUACAAAAUCCUCAUUUGUACAUCAAGUUUCCGGUUUAUAGAGUGAUCAUCCCUAGAGGAUCUUGAUUGUUUCUCCCAACAUCCAUGUGAGCUAUGCAGGACCAGUAUUAUCUCAAAUUUAUAAGUGAGAAAAUGGAGGCCCUGUGUGAGUUGGCAUGAGAACAGACAAUAUCUGUAAUGACAUCUAGCCGAAGGUGACUGCU
rnacentral:lncRNA from 10 species